rnacentral:rRNA from 1 species
GACGAACGCUGGCGGCGUGCUUAACACAUGCAAGUCGAACGGAAAGGCCUGCUUUCCCUUGUGGAUUGCGGGUACUCGAGUGGCGAACGGGUGAGUAACACGUGAGUGAUCUGCCCCCAACUUGGGUAUAAGCCUGGGAAACUGGGUCUAAUUCCCGAUAGGACUGCAGGGUGGUGCCUGUGGUGGAAAACGAUUUUCUAGUGGUUGGGGAUGAGCUCGCGGCCUAUCAGCUUGUUGGUGGGGUAAUGGCCUACCAAGGCGGCGACGGGUAGCCGGCCUGAGAGGGGGGACGGCAACAUUGGGACUGAGAUACGGCCCAGACUCCUACGGGAGGCAGCAGUGGGGAAUAUUGCACAAUGGGCGGAAGCCUGAUGCAGCGACGCCGCGUGGGGGAUGACGGCCUUCGGGUUGUAAACUCCUUUCGACCGCGAGGAAGCCACCUGGUUGGAAGGGUGGUGACGGUAGUGGUAGAAGAAGCACCGGCUAACUACGUG